GGCCAGGUAGCUCAGUUGGCAGAGCACAGGUCUGAAAAACCUGGGGUCGGCAGUUCGAUUCUGCCCCUGGCCA
rnacentral:tRNA from 1 species